UCCCGCUUAGCUCAGCGGUAGAGCGCGUCACUAGUAAUCACGAGGAUAUUCAACUUCCAAAUUAGGGAUUCUUCCAUUUCAGGAUAUGACGAGGUCAGUCGUUCAAAUCGGCUAGUGGGAA